UACGUAGGGUGCAAGCGUUGUCCGGAAUUAUUGGGCGUAAAGAGCUCGUAGGCGGUCUGUCACGUCGGCUGUGAAAACCCGAGGCUCAACCUCGGGCCUGCAGUCGAUACGGGCAGGCUGGAGGCAGGCAGGGGAGAACGGAAUUCCCGGUGUAGCGGUGGAAUGCGCAGAUAUCAGGAGGAACACCGGUGGCGAAGGCGGGUCUCUGGGCCGUUACUGACGCUGAGGAGCGAAAGCGUGGGGAGCGAACAGG
rnacentral:rRNA from 1 species